UUGCAGUAAACAAAAGUUUUCAUCUGUUUAGUGUUUAUCUUUCUAUCACUCGUUCUUUCAUCUUCUUAACAUUCUUUCAAUUAGUUUUCAAUCUCAGAUUUUACAUGAUUUCCUCUUCUUGUUUUUCGAAUCUUAUAUAUUUCAUCUUGGUGUUUCAUCUCUUCUUGUUCUCUGUUUAUUUAAGAAAAAACUCAGAUCUAAAUAAAUUUGAAUCUCAUGGCUAACCAGAGCUGGAGAUGGCAGAGGAAGAGGCAACGUGUCUCUGAGGCGAUGGUGGUAUCAGAGCUAAGCAAAUCUGUUUUUUUUUCUCUCCCUCUGCUCCUCCCCCUCCCUCUGUUUUGAAUCUUUUUUUAGGGUUAAUAUCUGAUCUGGUUCAACAUCAGUUUCAAUGCUCAAACCUUUGUUUGUUUAUGAUCUGAGAAAAUAAUGAUGAAACGGGAAGAUGAAAUGGUGGUGUGACGUCAAGCGUGGUGCAGUGAUGAGAAUAUGAAGUUAAGAAGUUAGAGAAGAAGAUAUGUCAAAAUCUAUGGAACAUAUUUCCCUUACUGCUACUACCAUUUCAACACUGCUCAAAAUCUUAUGCGGUUGUUCUUACUUGUUUAAUUCCAAUUUCAGUUAUAGAACAAUUUUGUGUUAUCAUAAUUAGUUUUUUUCAUGAAACAAUACAAAUAAUUUUAUUUUAACGGAAACUGAUUUGGUUA